UUUUUUUUUCUGAUAAUUCUGAAAAAUCUUUUCAGAAUGAUGAAGAUAUUAUGACUUUCUUUCAUAUCAUUAUAUUUGUCUUUUGAUUGUGACAUCUUCCUAGUUUUUCUUAUAACUUUUAAUUUAUUUCAUGAUUAUGACUUUAAAUCUUAACUUACCAUCUUACAGCUGUGACUUACUACCUUUUAUUUUGACCUUUUAUGACAUUUUUCUUACAAUAAUUACCAACCAUCAUAUAAUUAGGAUUCUUUUGACUUUUUCAUUGUAUUUUUGACUUCAAACAUUUUGCUGAACUUAACUUAAGCUCUUAUGGAAGACUCAACAGUGUUACAGAAACUGUAUUUUUUAUUUUUUUUUUAACUUUGUCUUCCAGCCAAAUUUUACUCUAAUUUAUCUAAGAUGGAUUUCCUCAAAGCUUCAAGCUUAAAUUUAAUUUUGAACAACAAAAUAGGACAAGGACAAA